rnacentral:misc_RNA from 1 species
CAAAACCAACAAGCGGCACAGUAUCCUCUAAAAUCUGGUCCUCCCAAUCAACCCAACCCUCUCCAUCUCCGCUCUUCUUCCCUACUUCAUCAUCCGAUUCCUCCUUCACCAACUCCUCACUUUCUGACGUCGUCUCCAACUCCGUCGAAAUCACCGGCUUCCGCAACAGCUCCGCGUUAUCACUCCGAAUCCCUCCUCCCUCCGAACCGGUCUUCACCGCAGCGCAACGACACAACCGCAAUCCCCCGCAACGUGAGAAG